UACGUAGGGGGCUAGCGUUGUUCGGAAUCACUGGGCGUAAAGGGAGUCUAGGCGGUUUGGUAAGUGGGAUGUGAAAUCCCCGGGCUCACCCCGGGACCUGCAUCCCAAACUGCUGAGCUUGAGUACAGGAGAGGGUGGGGGAAUUCCAGGUGUAGCGGUGAAAUGCGUAGAUAUCUGGAGGAACACCGGUGGCGAAGGCGCCCACCUGGCCUGCUACUGACGCUGAAGCUCGAAAGCUAGGGGAGCAAACGGG
rnacentral:rRNA from 1 species